GACCCACGAAUCCUCGUCUUCGCUCCCAACGGUGCAAAUAUAUGCGUCCCAAUUAAUGGCCCGCGCCUCCGUCCCCUCCGAGUCGCGGUCAAAAAGAGACGCCAAAGCCAGCAGACCGAGCAGCGGGACCGCGUUCGCAUUGCGAGAAUCAAAUCCCACCGUUGGCUCGUGGCGUCGCACGAAAGCUGAUGCACGCGCAGCCUUAUCUGCGCUCCGCCUCCGACCGACAUGGCCCAACGAAAGCGACGGUUGAGGGCAAACUUGGCACGGAAGGCAACCGAGUCGACUCGGCAAACCUGAGCGAUUGAUGGCGCUGCUGGAAGACAAACGCAUAGUGGAGAGGCGGGUCUAAUACCGCGGGAAGUUGUCGUCGCUUAGCUACCACGAAGUUGACAAGCGCGACCGGGAAGAAGAGAAGGGAGUGUGGACGGAAGUCAAUCACGCAUUCGGGCAGAUUAAAGACGCACGGCAAGUGUUCGAUCGAUGUUCCGUGAGAGGCAUGCGAUAAUAAUGCUGACCGGCUUGGCUGCAUGAAUUGGAUCGUGUGAUCAGCAUCCAAAGCAACAAAUGAACUUACGGACAUCUCCACCGCUGUUUACGGACUUGCGACGGUUCUUUGCUCAUCAUGUUAUUAUCGUUGUUAUGAUCAUGAGUUGGAUCAUUGCUAGUCCUUUCGACAGCAUGCAUGAUUGAUAGCCACACGGUCACGAAUCCGAAGCUGUGGAGAAGAAGAGAGUGGAAGAGAACAAGUGAAAGCAACACCCACCGGCCUCCUCAAGCCUCAGACUCCGAGUUAGUAGUGGGCGGAGGGAGCCAUAGUUAUUAUUACAGGUGAAGAAACGGAGGGCUUGCAAGUAGCGUUAAUGGCUGCUGUUGUGAAUCAUAACAUCACUAAAAAGGAGGUUUGAUGGGACGAGCGUCGGUGAUGAUUAGAUAAUGCUAUCAUUACAGUUCAAGGUUGCGUUGCAUGCCCAAUAAUACUAUGGAACGCUCUUUUAAUUGUUGAGGAUGUUCGAUGGUUAAUCUACACGAAGAUUGAGGUCGA